rnacentral:rRNA from 1 species
GACAUAGGGGGCGAACGUUAUCCGGAAUUAUUGGGCGUAAAGGAUGCGUAGAUGGUAGAAUAAGUUACUGGUCGAUGCCAAACUCAAUUUGACGGAAGCUGGUAAUACUGUUCUGCUCGAGGGCAGGAGAGGUUGAUGGAAUUCUGUGUGGAGCGGUGAAAUGCGUUGAUCUACAGAGGAACACCAAAAAAGGCGAAGGCAGUCAACUGUUCUGUUCCUGACAUUGAGGCAUGAAAGCGUGGGGAGCAAACCGG